UACAACCCAUUCUCGCUUAUCGCUUAUUCAUAGAUUAUCACUAUGAAAUCACGUUCAAGAAGUCUCAUUCAGCACACAUCGCGAUACUUGCCAUCAGUUUACAUUUGCCACAGGUUCGCUGAAAAGAUGUAAAGGAAGCAGUCAUCCCUGUGGUGUUUGUGGAGAGGUAUUCCUUCAGAAAUGGAGAAGACAGAAAGCUGCGGAGGCAGACAUUUGCAGCAGAUUGUUUGCAGAUAAUGCUGUUCUUCUUUUUCAGAAGUUUUUUGUGAGCCAACCCUCACACACCUUCCUAAAAACUAAAAGAGCUAUUACUGAG